rnacentral:lncRNA from 1 species
UUGAACAUCCUACGAGGAAUAACAAUAUUAAGCAAAACCUGAAACAGUAGUUCAGUUCUCGGAAAAAGAAAUUACUAUUGGCUGAGUAGCUUCAACUUCAGGAGUACCUACCAAGGUUUACAUUUUACUACAUCCUUCUUAAAUGUUAGUCUUUGCAUAAAACCUUCAAUAAAAAACUAUCAUGCAGAAAUCACAUUCUUUAUGAGAAACAGACCUCAUAAUAGAAAAUCUGUAUCAUAAUAGAAAUUGUAGAUUUCCUUGAUGGGAAACAUACUAAUGGUCAGAUCCGCAUCAUCAUCACAGUUUCAGCCUCUACCGCUACCCAUCAUUACUCAUCUUGUGCAACCUCUCUUCUUUCUACUUUCACUCCCUUCUCUGGAGUUUGUCUUCAGUAGUAGUAGCAUAAAAAGCAAGUCCAGCUCAAUGUUGUUAGCAACCUAAAAAUGUUUCGGCUCUGAUGGCAUUUCUAGAUGGCUUGGCAAGUUCUCAUGCUCGUUUUAAUUCAAGAUACAUUAAAAGUGCAUCAGAAUUCGUGGCAGAACAGCUGAUAGAUGUAGACGUCGUACCUCCAAAAGAAGCGGCGAAUCCCCGACAAAAAUCAUAAACCGAACCAUUUAUAGACAAUAGAGCUGGUAGGACAUCUUUAAAAAACAAAAAAUGUACAAACUUGACCAUUGGCUCCUGGAGAAAGAAUUGGAUUGCAUAGUACUAUUAUUGAAGUAACAAUGAGACCAUAUGCGAAAGGAGAAAAGAAAAUAAAUAUAUAUGAGCUCCUAGGAAUAAAUGGCAGAAGUUAAAAUGAGCAAUGGACAUGCAAAAAUAAAAUGUACUGGUUGCGAAGAAGAUGGGUUGAACAUGAUGCAUGUAGGUUAACAAUCAUUAUUUCCUUGGUAUCUUGAGAGCUUGGUUAAGAAAAAUAAAUAUUCUCACCAACACAAGGGGCAUCUAAUCUACCUAGUUGAGUUCUUCACUUCUCUCUGGUUACUCUGGACCAAGAAAAGUUGGAAAGCUAGACUGCAAUAGUAUGAUGUUCUGAGCAGUUUGAACCUGAAGCUAAACCUAAACCAUGGCCGGAAGAUUAAUAGGGUGUUUAGUUUUAGGACAAGCUUAUCCUUGCAAUGUUACACAUGAAAAGGGGGCCGGGACCCUCCUUGGUCCCGCCGACGCUCCGCCGGUGCAUGUAAUGCAAAAUCCUUCAUAGAAAACUUAAUCAAUAUCAGAUGUGCAUAUUUUGCUAUCUCAACCAUUUACAACCGCUCAAAUGAUUCUCUAUCUCAACCAUUUACAAUCCCUCAAAUCAUUCUCCAUAUUUCUGUUAAAGCUCAUUUCUACCUCUUAUGCCCGGUUGUGUUUUGACAUCAAAUGGGCACCCAACGGGCUCCUCAAAUUCCAACCAUCUGGAUAGUCUGGAUUCCCCAAAAUCUAGUACAUCUGUGGGGGAGAAAUGUGGCUAAAGUAGAUGGGCUUUUUAUUGCUGAUAAUCAUGAGUACAAUAUUACUGCUAACUACUUUAGAUAAUAAAUUAGGGGUAUUUUUUAGUAAUUCUUGCACAAAUACUUGAAGAACCCAUAUAUAUAUGAGCUUAUAAUGGACAUUAUACCUACCUAACCAAAACUAAAAUACAAUGAAUAGCUUCUGAAGCAUUACCUAAGGCAUAUGAUCAGAGGUCAUACCUGCAUGACCUCAUCGUCGCAGUAGAUCACAUCCGGGGAAACACCGUGUUUGGCGAGAAGCAAGGGCAUAGAGUGUCCAUGUCACUCCCGCCAUCAUUGACUACCUCACUAUGCACAAGUAUAGUCACAUCACGAGUUAAUAUAAGAAGUAGAACAACCUUUAAUUUCUCAUUCUUCAACUCCUGAAGUGACAUAAAGAAACCCAACAUGCCAAAAAAAUCAUCUGAAAAGAAAACACAAACAAGAUAUACUAUACACAUUCUAGUGUAUACCAAAAUACAUGGACAAACACAUGCAUCACAAUCAUGUAAACACAAUUCUUCUGUUCUGAUCUUAUUCUAUCUAUAUUUUAACAUUUGAGAAAUAAAUUUGAAGAUACUACACCAAUAUGUACAUGUAUCGUUGUGAUAUCCAUGUGGUUAAACAUUUGAAACUUCCACAAUCAAUAGACGUGCUAAUAUACCUGGAUUGUUCACAUUAGUGCAAUCUGAAUAUCUAUCAAUAAAAGUUACUCCCUCCAUCCCAUAAUAUAAAACAAUUUUGCAAGCUACACAAGGAGUAUUAUCUUAUAUAUUGUUAUUUUCUUUAGUUUUGUUAACAAUGCAACCAAUCUUACAUCACGCGAAGAAUUAUGAAGGACUAAUAGAUUAGAAAAUGAGGAUAAUGCUAGUAUGCUCUACGUUAUCAAGAAUUUGCCCUCUUCAGCUUACAUGAGCUUGAGGGCCCUGGUGUCAUUGAUCUCUUUUGCAUAUUCUUCCUGAAAUAGCACAACAAUACGGCAGACACAAAAAACUGAGCAUUGUAAGUGCCUCUUAUUCCUUCCAUCAAGAUAUUAAGGACUGUUCAACUGCUUGUGCACUGAUGUACAUAUUUAUCAACAUUACAUCAGUUUUUGAACUGCUGGAUGCCUAUGACAACUACAAUCUACUAUGCCUUGCCAUAAAAAGGAACACUAUGAACGGCACUUAGCAAGAACUAUACCUAACCGAAGUGCUACUACACACUAUACAUCAUAGUUGAACAGGCUUUCAGACUUUUUGUACUCAAAAGCAUCCAUUCUAC